rnacentral:misc_RNA from 1 species
CAUCUGUUGCUGGGCUCCUUUUCCCUGAAAAAGAAACUAUUAACUUGAAAAAGUAGAAGGUGAAUUUAAAAGUUUCAAGGGAAUGGUAACCAAAUAGCAGAGCGGAUGCUUAAAUAGGUAAAACUCAAGAUUGAUACGGGGAACACGGAGAUGGACCAGUAUAUAUGUUCUAAGUCUUAACAUAAUAGUAUUAAAUUAACUCAUUUACUCCUAGGCAUAAACAAACUAGGAAUUAGCAUUAUUAAUCUACCAAGCUAUAUACUUAUGUAUUGCAUAGUUCUAUUUUGAAUGGCCAUUGAACUAAUCAACGAUAUCAGAGUAUUCAUGUGAUAUAAUAAUAACAAAUUACAUUUGAACUGAAUGCACCACCAG